CCUACGGGUGGCAGCAGUGGGGAAUAUUGCACAAUGGGGGAAACCCUGAUCCAGCCACGCCGCGUGAGCGAUGACGUAUUUCGGGAUGUUAAGCUCUAUCAGCAGGGGAGAAAAUGACGGUACCUGACUCAGAAGCCCCGUCGAACUACGUGCCAGCAGCCGCGGUAAUAUGUAGGGGGCCAGCGUUAUCCGGAUUUACUGGGUGUAAAGGGAGCGUAGACGGUCCUGCAAGCCAGAUGUGAAAGCCCGGGGCUCAAUCCCGGGACUGCAUUUGGAACUGGAAGGCUAGAGUGUCGGAGAGGCAGGCGGAAUUCCUAGUGUAGCGGUGAAAUGCGUAGAUAGUACGAGGAACACCAGUGGCGAAGGCGGCCUGCUGGACGAUGACUGACGUUGAGGCUCGAAAGCGUGGGGAGCGAACAGGAUUAGAUACCCGUGUAGUC
rnacentral:rRNA from 1 species